rnacentral:rRNA from 1 species
CCUACGGGAGGCAGCAGUAGGGAAUCUUCCACAAUGGGCGAAAGCCUGAUGGAGCAACGCCGCGUGGGUGAAGAAGGUCUUCGGAUCGUAAAACCCUGUUGUUAGAGAAGAAAGUGCGUGAGAGUAACUGUUCACGUUUCGACGGUAUCUAACUCGAAAGCCACGGCUAACUACGUGCCAGCAGCCGCGGUAAUACGUAGGUGGCAAGCGUUAUCCGGAUUUAUUGGGCGUAAAGGGAACGCAGGCGGUCAUUUAAGUCUGAUGUGAAAGCCGUGGGCUUAACCGGAGUAGUGCAUUGGAAACUGGGAGACGUGAGUGCAGAAGAUGAGAGUGGAACUCCAUGUGUAGCGGUGAAAUGCGUAGAUAUAUGGAAGAACACCAGUGGCGAAAGCGGCUCUCUGGUCUGUAACUGACGCUGAGGUUCGAAAGCAUGGGUAGCAAACAGGAUUAGAUACCCGUGUAGUC